UUGCACGCUGGCGGCAGGCCUAACACAUGCCAGUCGAACGGUAACAGGAAGCAGCUUGCUGCUUUGCUGACGAGUGGCGGACGGGUGAGUAAUGUCUGGGAAACUGCCUGAUGGAGGGGGAUAACUACUGGAAACGGUAGCUAAUACCGCAUAACGUCGCAAGACCAAAGAGGGGGACCUUAGGGCCUCUUGCCAUCGGAUGUGCCCAGAUGGGAUUAGCUAGUAGGUGGGGUAACGGCUCACCUAGGCGACGAUCCCUAGCUGGUCUGAGAGGAUGAACAGCCACACUGGAACUGAGACACGGUCCAGACUCCUACAGGAGGCAGCAGUGGGGAAUAUUGCACAAUGGGCGCAAGCCUGAUGCAGCCAUGCCGCGUGUAUGAAGAAGGCCUUCGGGUUGUAAAGUACUUUCAGCGGGGAGGAAGGGAGUAAAGUUAAUACCUUUGCUCAUUGACGUUACCCGCAGAAGAAGCACCGGCUAACUCCGUG
rnacentral:rRNA from 1 species